UACGAAGGGGGCUAGCGUUGUUCGGAAUUACUGGGCGUAAAGGGUUUGUAGGCGGUUAUACAAGUCAGUGGUGAAAGCCCAGGGCUCAACCCUGGAAUUGCCAUUGAAACUGUAUAGCUUGAGAAUGUUAGAGGAAAGUGGAAUUCAUAGUGUAGGAGUGAAAUCCGUAGAGAUUAUGAGGAAUAUCGAUGGCGAAGGCAGCUUUCUGGGACAUUUCUGACGCUGAGAAACGAAAGCGUGGGUAGCAAACAGG
rnacentral:rRNA from 1 species